rnacentral:rRNA from 1 species
AUUGAACGCUGGCGGCAGGCCUAACACAUGCAAGUCGAACGAGUGGCGGACGGGUGAGUAAUGUCUGGGAAACUGCCCGCUGGAGGGGGAUAACUACUGGAAACGGUAGCUAAUACCGCAUACCAUCGGAUGUGCCCAGAUGGGAUUAGCUAGUAGGUGGGGUAACGGCUCACCUAGGCGACGAUCCCUAGCUGGUCUGAGAGGAUGACCAGCAAAACUGGAACGUAGACACGGUCCAGACGCCUAAGGGAGGCAGCAGUGGGGAAUAUGGCACAGUGGGCGCAAGCCGGAUACAGCCAUGCCGCGUGUAUGAAGAAGGCCUUCAGGUUGUAAAGUACUUUCAGCGAGGAGGCGGUACUCGCAGAAGAAGCACCGGCUAACUCCGUGCCAGCAGCCGCGGUAAUAC